CUCAGAGAAGGUGGCUGACCCCAACCAUCCCAGGGUAAUACACACAGAUGGUGUCUCCUGCUCUGCCGCCUCCUUGUAAUCACCAAAUAAAAUAUUCAUGCAUUCAGAUGUUUGCUUGGGACCAGUGCUCUCCAGUAGAACUUCCUGCCAUGAUGAAAAAGUAUCUGUGCUGUCCAUGAUGAUAGCCACAAAAUACAUGGAGUAAUGGACCACUUCCACUGUGGCCAGUGCAACUGAGGGACUCAACUUCUAAUUUUAAUUAAUUUAAAAUUAAAUUGCCAUAUAUUUAAUGGUUCAAAUGUAUAUUAUAUUAAAUGUCAUAUACUUGAAAUUCAUUUUUCCUG
ensembl:lncRNA